GAUGAACGCUGGCGGCGUGCCUAAUACAUGCCAGUCGAGCGAACGGACGAGAAGCUUGCUUCUCUGAUGUUAGCGGCGGACGGGUGAGGAACACGUGGAGAACCUACCUAUAAGACUGGGAUAACUUCGGGAAACCGUAGCUAAUACCGGCUAAUAUUUUGAACCGGAUGGUUCAAAAGUGAAAUAGGGUCUUGCUGUGACUGAUAGAUGUAUCCUCGCUGCAUUAGCUAGUUGGUAAGGUAACGACUUACCAAGGCAACGAUGCAUAGCCGACCUGAGAGGGUGAUGGGCCACACUGGAACUGAGACACGGUCCAGACUCCUACGGGAGGCAGCAGUCGGGAAUCUUCCGCAAUGGGCGAAAGCCUGACGGAGCAACGCCGCGUGAGUGAUGAAGGUCUUCGGCUCGUAAAACUCUGUUAUUAGGGAAGAACAUAUGUGUAAGUAACUGUGCACAUCUUGACGGUACCUAAUCAGAAAGCCACGGCUAACUACGUG
rnacentral:rRNA from 1 species